rfam:Agrilus planipennis Contig3268, whole genome shotgun sequence.
AGGUAGAGGGGUUUUAGUUGGUAGGCGCUCCUUCAGAGUGAAUCCAAUACUACCCUGUUGUACGGACGGCAGGGUGUCUUUUGAAGAUUUCCCCUCUUCC